rnacentral:rRNA from 1 species
AUUGAACGCUGGCGGCAUGCCUUACACAUGCAAGUCGAACGGUAACAGGUCUUCGGAUGCUGACGAGUGGCGAACGGGUGAGUAAUACAUCGGAACGUGCCUAGUAGUGGGGGAUAACUACUCGAAAGAGUGGCUAAUACCGCAUGAGAUCUACGGAUGAAAGCAGGGGAUCGCAAGACCUUGUGCUACUGGAGCGGCCGGUGGCAGAUUAGGUAGUUGGUGGGAUAAAAGCUUACCAAGCCGACGAUCUGUAGCUGGUCUGAGAGGACGAUCAGCCACACUGGGACUGAGACACGGCCCAGACUCCUACGGGAGGCAGCAGUGGGGAAUUUUGGACAAUGGGCGAAAGCCUGAUCCAGCAAUGCCGCGUGCAGGAUGAAGGCCUUCGGGUUGUAAACUGCUUUUGUACGGAACGAAAAGCCCCGGGUUAAUACCCUGGGGUCAUGACGGUACCGUAAGAAUAAGCACCGGCUAACUCCGUGCCAGCCGCCGCCGUAA